GACGAACGCUGGCGGCGUGCUUAACACAUGCAAGUCGAGCGGUAAGGCCCUUUCGGGGGUACGACGAGCGGCGAACGGGUGAGUAACACGUGGGUGACCUGCCCUCAGCUCUGGGAUAAGCCUGGGAAACCGGGUCUAAUACUGGAUAUGACUCCAUGACGCAUGUUGUGGGGUGGAAAGCCUUGUGCGGCUGAGGAUGGGCCCGCGGCCUAUCAGCUUGUUGGUGGGGGAUGGCCUACCAAGGCGACGACGGGUAGCCGGCCUGAGAGGGCGACCGGCCACACUGGGACUGAGACACGGCCCAGACUCCUACGGGAGGCAGCAGUGGGGAAUCUUGCGCAAUGGGCGAAAGCCUGACGCAGCGACGCCGCGUGAGGGAUGACGGCCUGG
rnacentral:rRNA from 1 species